ACAUGGAGGAAGCUUCCAGCAACCUCUCAGAGAAGCCACCCUGUAGCUGCCCCACUACCAAAAUCUUGCCACAAAAAUCCAAAAUAGAUCAAAGCUUCCAUUUGAAGAAUGAAACCUAAAAAGAGUUCAAGAACUACUCCCAGAUCUGCAAUCUUUUUCUCUGUGUAAGAACUACAACUUAUGAACAAGUUUGAUUAAAAGAUCAAUCUCAGCUCUGGAGAUGAAUGCUUUUGAAGAUGAAACUAUGUUAAAUAUGUCAGCUAAUUUCAAAACCAGCAUGAAAGAAUUGAAGGUUAUGAAGCAAUGGUUAGCUGAGCCAGAGAUUGGGAAAAGCUCCUCUACCAAGCAUCUAUUGAAUCAAAUCUGUAAUCAUGCUCAGUCAACGCAGACAGACAUACCAGUAGAAAAAAUGCCUACUUUACCUGGACAGAUGAUGGUGAGAAUGACUGUUUUUGUGAAAUGACCUCAAAAGGCUGGGGUUAAAUACACUGUUUUUCCAAGAAGAAAGAAAAAAAAAGAAAUCAAAGAAAAUAA